AAGUCGUAACAAGGUUUCCGUAGGUGAACCUGCGGAAGGAUCAUUAAAAGAGACUUUAGUUUCUGAGAGAAAUCGAAGAACUGAAAUCCCAACCCUUGUUUAUAUACAAAAAAUUAUUGUUGCUUCGGCGAAUUGAUUAAUUUCGUCGCCAGAAGAAAUCAAACCAAACUCUUGUUUAAAAUAUAAUGUCUGAACUAUUUGAAAUAGGAUAAAACCUAUUAGAAUUAAAAUUACAACUUUCAACAACGGAUCUCUUGGUUCUGGCAUCGAUGAAGAACGCAGCGAAAUGCGAUAAGUAAUGUGAAUUGCAGAAUUUUGUGAAUCAUCGAAUCUUUGAACGCACAUUGCACCUUUUGGUAUUCCGAAAGGUAUGCUUGUUCGAGCGUCGUUUAAACUAUAUCAAUUUAAUUAUUGAAUGUAUUGAGUGUCUUCCUCUGAAUCUUUUUAAUUAAAGAAAGGAGAACACUCCAAAAUGAUUGAGCGAUCUUGACUAGAUUUAAUUGACGCAUUAAGAAUUAUUUUAUCGUCAGUAGAAGAAGUUAUUGGAUCUGCCAAAUAAAACCGCUUUGUUUAAUUGGAUUGUUAACUCAAUUUAAUCAUCAAAACACCCAAUAUUUUAUUAUCGACCUCGAAUCAAGUAGGAUUACCCGCUGAACUUAAGCAUAUCAAUAAGCGGAGGAAAAGAAACCAACAGGGAUUACCUUAGUAACGGCGAGUGAAGCGGUAAAAGCUCAGAUUUGAAAUCUUCUUGCAUUUGUAAGACGAGUUGUAAUCUGUAGAAGGAUCAAUGGCUGAAUACUCUGAUUUAAGUUCCCUGGAACAGGACGCCUUAGAGGGUGAGAGCCCCGUUAUUAUCAGAGAAUAAGCUACUUAAUUGACCUUUCGACGAGUCGAGUUGUUUGGGAAUGCAGCUCUAAAUGGGUGGUAAAUUUCAUCUAAAGCUAAAUAUCUGCCAGAGACCGAUAGCGAACAAGUAGAGUGAUCGAGAGAUGAAAAGCACUUUGAAAAGAGAGUUAAAAAGUACGUGAAAUUGUUGAAAGGGAAGCGCUUGCAGUUAGACUUGAUUUAUUAAUUCAGCUUUCUCAUGGGAAAGUGUACUUUUGAUUAAUCAGGCCAGCAUCAGUUUGAGUAGGUAUAAAAAUGUAGUUGGAAUGUAGCUUUCACUUCGGUGCAAGUGUUAUAGACUUCUAUAUCAUGUAUUUCAUUCAGACUGAGGUCCGCCAAUUUAUUGUAGGAUGCUGGCAUAAUGACUGUAAGCGGCC
rnacentral:rRNA from 1 species